AUACGGAGGAUGCGAGCGUUAUCCGGGUUUAUUAGGUUUAAAGGGUGUGUAGGCGGUAUUUUAAGUCAGUGGUGAAAUCUCGGAGCUUAACUUCGAAACUGCCAUUGAUACUGGAAUACUUGAGUAUAGUUGAGGUAGGCGGAAUAUGUAAUGUAGCGGUGAAAUGCAUAGAUAUUACAUUGAACACCGAUUGCGAAGGCAGCUUACUAAACUAUUCCUGACGCUGAUGCACGAAAGCGUGGGGAGCGAACAGGAUUAGAUACCCUAGUAGUCC
rnacentral:rRNA from 1 species